rnacentral:misc_RNA from 1 species
ACAAACUUGGUCAUUUAGAGGAAGUAAAAGUCGUAACAAGGUUUCCGUAGGUGAACCUGCGGAAGGAUCAUUAUUGAAUAUCUUGCCUUGAUAGGUUGUAGCUGGCCUCUUGAGGCAUGUGCACACCUGUCUUGACUUUAUUCAUCCACCUGUGCAUCUAUUGUAGUUCUUUGCUCUUGGUAGGUCAAGGAAAGCAGCCAUCUGCUCAGUUGAGAUAUACUGGUUUUGAAGAUUGCCGUAUUGAGCUAUCUUCUCCUGUGGCAUUGUAGAACCAUGCCUACCAUUGAUCCAAGGGACUAUGUUUCUUAUCAUAAACUAUGUAGUAUAUUGUCAGAAUGUCAUUGAAUGGGCUUUUUAUGCCUAUAAUAACUUAUACAACUUUCAGCAACGGAUCUCUUGGCUCUCGCAUCGAUGAAGAACGCAGC